AGAGCGAACGCUGGCGGCAUGCUUAACACAUGCAAGUCGCACGGGCAGGGGAAACUCUGUCAGUGGCGGACGGGUGAGUAACGCGUAGGUAUCUGUCCAUGGGUGGGGGAUAACGGCGGGAAACUGCUGCUAAUACCGCAUGACACCUGAGGGUCAAAGGCGCAAGUCGCCUGUGGAGGAGCCUGCGUCCGAUUAGCUAGUUGGUGGGGUAACGGCCUACCAAGGCGACGAUCGGUAGCUGGUCUGAGAGGAUGAUCAGCCACACUGGGACUGAGACACGGCCCAGACUCCUACGGAGGCAGCAGUGGGGAAUAUUGGACAAUGGGCGCAAGCCUGAUCCAGCAAUGCCGCGUGGGUGAAGAAGGUCUUCGGAUUGUAAAGCCCUUUCGGCGGGGACGAUGAUGACGGUACCCGCAGAAGAAGCCCCGGCUAACUUCGUGCCAGCAGCCGCGGUAA
rnacentral:rRNA from 1 species